AGAGGCUAGGUACUGGCACGAUGCUUAGUGGUCUUGAAAACCGCUAGGGGCGGUGACGUUCCUCGUGGGUUCGAAUCCCACGCUCUCCGC
rnacentral:tRNA from 1 species